AGCGAACGCUGGCGGCAGGCCUAACACAUGCAAGUCGAACGCCGUAGCAAUACGGAGUGGCAGACGGGUGAGUAACACGUGGGGAUCUGCCCGAUGGUACGGAAUAAUUCCGGGAAACUGGGACUAAUACCGUAUGAGCCCGCAAGGGGAAAGAUUUAUCGCCAUCGGAUGAACCCGCGUCAGAUUAGCUAGUUGGCGGGGUAAAGGCCCACCAAGGCGACGAUCUGUAGCUGGUCUGAGAGGAUGAUCAGCCACACUGGGACUGAGACACGGCCCAGACUCCUACGGGAGGCAGCAGUGGGGAAUAUUGGACAAUGGGCGCAAGCCUGAUCCAGCCAUGCCGCGUGAGUGAUGAAGGCCUUAGGGUUGUAAAGCUCUUUCGCCGACGAAGAUAAUGACGGUAGUCGGAGAAGAAGCCCCGGCUAACUUCGUGCCAGCCGCCGCAGUAAAAC
rnacentral:rRNA from 1 species